GCCUACGGGAGGCAGCAGUGGGGAAUUUUGGGCAAUGGGCGAAAGCCUGACCCAGCAACGCCGCGUGAGGGAUGAAGGCCUUCGGGUCGUAAACCUCUGUCGGGAGGGGCGAAAGGCGCGCGGGUGAACAAUCCGCGUACUUGACGGUACCUCCAAAGGAAGCGCCGGCUAACUCCGUGCCAGCAGCCGCGGUAA
rnacentral:rRNA from 1 species